rnacentral:rRNA from 1 species
AACCUAAAGAAUUUGGCGGUAUUUUAAAUAAUUGGAGGAAUCUGUUUUUAAAAUGAUAAUUCACAUCAUAUCUUUCCAAAAUUUUGUUUGUAUAUCGUCGUUUAGAUAAUACUUAGAAGUAAUAAUCAUUUAUAAUAAAGUUAGUAAAAUCAGAUCAAGGUGCAGCAUAUUUUGGUUGAAAUAGAUUACAAUAUAUAAUAUAUAUAAUGGAAGAUAAAUGAAAAUAAAUCUGAAGGUGGAUUCAAAAGUAAUAUUAAAAUUAAAAUGUUUUUAUGAUUAAAUAUUUAAAAUAUGUACACAU